rnacentral:rRNA from 1 species
GAUGAACGCUGGCGGCGUGCUUAACACAUGCAAGUCGAACGGAAAGGCUCCUGCUUGCAGGGGUACUCGAGUGGCGAACGGGUGAGUAACACGUGGGUGAUCUGCCCUGCACUUCGGGAUAAGCCUGGGAAACUGGGUCUAAUACCGGAUAGGACCACAUUUUGGAUGGUGUGGUGGAAAGUUUUUCGGUGUGGGAUGAGCUCGCGGCCUAUCAGCUUGUUGGUGGGGUAAUGGCCUACCAAGGCGUCGACGGGUAGCCGGCCUGAGAGGGUGUACGGCCACAUUGGGCUUGGGUUCCGGCCCAGCCUCUUCCGGGGGGCAGCGGUGGGGAUUAUUGCCCAAGGGGGGCAGCCCUGAUGCAGCGCCGCCGGUUGGGGGAGAACGCCCUUCGGGUUGUAACCUCCUUUCGCUAGGACGAAGCGCAAGUGACGGUACCUGGAGAAGAAGCACCGGCUAACUACGUG